rnacentral:rRNA from 1 species
CCUGUUCCCAUUCCGAACACAGAAGUUAAGCUCUCUAGCGCUGAUGGUACUUGGUGGGAAACUGCCUGGGAGAGUAGGACGUAGCCACGUA